UCAGGACGAACGCUGGCGGCGUGCCUAAUACAUGCAAGUCGAGCGGACUAAUGGGAGCUUGCUCCCGUUAGUUAGCGGCGGACGGGUGAGUAACACGUGGGCAACCUACCUGUAAGACUGGGAUAACUUCGGGAAACCGGAGCUAAUACCGGAUGACAUAAAGGAACUCCUGUUCCUUUAUUGAAAGAUGGCUUCGGCUAUCACUUACAGAUGGGCCCGCGGCGCAUUAGCUAGUUGGUGAGGUAACGGCUCACCAAGGCGACGAUGCGUAGCCGACCUGAGAGGGUGAUCGGCCACACUGGGACUGAGACACGGCCCAGACUCCUACGGGAGGCAGCAGUAGGGAAUCUUCCGCAAUGGACGAAAGUCUGACGGAGCAACGCCGCGUGAGCGAUGAAGGCCUUCGGGUCGUAAAGCUCUGUUGUUAGGGAAGAAUAAGUGCUAGUUGAAUAAGCUGGCACCUUGACGGUACCUAACCAGAAAGCCACGGCUAACUACGUGCCAGCAGCCGCGGUAAUACGUAGGUGGCAAGCGUUGUCCGGAAUUAUUGGGCGUAAAGCGCGCGCAGGCGGUUUCUUAAGUCUGAUGUGAAAGCCCCCGGCUCAACCGGGGAGGGUCAUUGGAAACUGGGAAACUUGAGUGCAGAAGAGGAAAGUGGAAUUCCAAGUGUAGCGGUGAAAUGCGUAGAGAUUUGGAGGAACACCAGUGGCGAAGGCGACUUUCUGGUCUG
rnacentral:rRNA from 1 species